rnacentral:rRNA from 1 species
UACGAAGGGGGCUAGCGUUGCUCGGAAUCACUGGGCGUAAAGCGCACGUAGGCGGAUUGCUAAGUCAGGGGUGAAAUCCUGGAGCUCAACUCCAGAACUGCCUUUGAUACUGAGGAGCUUGAGUCCGGGAGAGGUGAGUGGAACUGCGAGUGUAGAGGUGAAAUUCGUAGAUAUUCGCAAGAACACCAGUGGCGAAGGCGGCUCACUGGCCCGGUACUGAAGCUGAGGUGCGAAAGCGUGGGGAGCAAACAGG